AGAAUCGUCCUCGCCGGACACU
rnacentral:siRNA from 1 species